AUUGAACGCUGGCGGCAGGCCUAACACAUGCAGUCGAACGGUAACAGGAAGAAGCUUGCUUCUUUGCUGACGAGUGGCGGACGGGGGAGUAAUGUCUGGGAAACUGCCUGAUGGAGGGGGAUAACUACUGGAAACGGUAGCUAAUACCGCAUAACGUCGCAAGACCAAAGAGGGGGACCUUCGGGCCUCUUGCCAUCGGAUGUGCCCAGAUGGGAUUAGCUAGUAGGUGGGGUAACGGCUCACCUAGGCGACGAUCCCUAGCUGGUCUGAGAGGAUGACCAGCCACACUGGAACUGAGACACGGUCCAGACUCCUACGGGAGGCAGCAGUGGGGAAUAUUGCACAAUGGGCGCAAGCCUGAUGCAGCCAUGCCGCGUGUAUGAAGAAGGCCUUCGGGUUGUAAAGUACUUUCAGCGGGGAGGAAGGGAGUAAAGUUAAUACCUUUGCUCAUUGACGUUACCCGCAGAAGAAGCACCGGCUAACUCCGUG
rnacentral:rRNA from 1 species